GAAACUUUUCCACUGUCCUGAACGUUUCCCUUCUUCCCUGCUCUGCUUCUGACAUCUGCACCAUGUGCCAGAUAGGGGAUAAUAACUAACAUUUCACUGACACAUCUGUCCUGUCCACAGGUGUGAUGCCAAGGAUUGAAACCAAGGAGGGAGGAUAAGUGCUGAGUGAGCACAGACAACAGCUCCUCUGUCUUUCUCAAACAUCUUCAAGGUCCCUGUGGAGGGAUAAAUGGCCAACAGGAGGUUCUUUCCCAGGAGAGACUCAUCUGGAGCUUUAUGGGUUCCAGUGUGCAGCAACAACAGGCAGCAGGGCAGGACUCGCUGUUCCUUUUUCCUAUGCAUAUACCUUUUUGAGAUGUAGCUUUAAAGAGGCAUAGGGCAUGGGAAAAUGGGGCUGCAGAGGUAUCCCACCAGGCAGACAGCUGUUUCAUCAUCCUCACACUGCCUGCAGAUGAUCUUUGUGUCUCUGUGAUUCUUUUUUAAAUAUAAUAUCAUAACUCUGAUUUCUUCAUAUUCAUUCAAGAUGACAUUGUGUGUGUUUGCUAUAUUACUGUUCAUUUGAAACAUCUUUUUACCAAAACACUGUCUUUGUUUUUAUUUGGAAUAAAGACAUCUUGGU